AUGGCUCCCUCCAUAGCUGAAGGAGAGCAGGUCAAAGGCUUCUCACUUGUUAGUGGGAUCUUCUGGCAAGGAAUUCACCUUGGGAUUCUACUCCCCGACACAAGCGACAUACUGUCGGUGACGACGGCGACCUCCGACUUGCCGGUUUCCGACCCGGCCAGAGUUGCCUUGGCCAUGGGCAGCGAUGGCAACCUUGUCCUCUUUGACCACUCCAGGAACAUGGAGCUAUGGUCGACCAACGUGAGUGUAACCUCCAACUCCACCAUGGCCGUCAUCAGGGACACCGGUAGCCUCGACGUCACCGACGCGUCGAAUUCAUCGAUAAUUUAUUGGCGGAGCAUAGACCAUCCAACAAACACCUGGCUUCCAGGGGGAAAGCUCGGGAUGAACAAGAUCACCGGUGUGAUCCAGAGGCUUGUUCCUUGGAAGAACAUGGCAGAUCCGUCUCCAGGGCUGUUCACGCUGGAGCUGGACCCAAACGGCACGCUACAGUUUUUCAUCCGGUGGAAUCUGUCCAUAACCUAUUGGUCCAGUGGCCCUUGGAACGGCCAUAACUUUACCCUUGCACCGGAGAUGACAAUCGGUCUCACAUUCGACAUCCCAUUCAUCAACAAUGACAUUGAAGGCUACCUCUUCUACUCGCUGAGCGACGUGGGCGGGCAGAUCAAGGAGUAA
rnacentral:rRNA from 1 species